AGCGUAUAUUAGAGUUGUUGCNGUUAAAAAGCUCGAGUUGAAUUUCGGGAUCGAAUUGUUGGUCGUGCCUCGNNACGCACUGGNAUUAUCGGNUCCUACCUUCUGAAGAACCGCGAUGUCAUUAAUUUGGUGUCGUGGGGAAUCAGGACUGUUACUUUGAAAAAAUUAGAGUGUUUAAAGCAGGCUUACGCUUGAAUACAUUAGCNUGGAAUAAUGAAAUAGGACGUUUGAUUCUAUUUUGUUGGUUUCUAGGAUCGACGUAAUGAUUAAUAGGGAUAGUUGGGGGCAUUAGUAUUCAAUUGUCAGAGGUGAAAUUCUUGGAUUUAUUGAAGACUAACUACUGCGAAAGCAUUUGCCAAGGAUGUUUUCAUUAAUCAAGAACGAAAGUUAGGGGAUCGAAGACGAUCAGAUACCGUCGUAGUCUUAACCAUAAACUAUGCCGACUAGGGAUCGGAUGAUGUUAAUUUUAUAAUGACUCAUUC
rnacentral:rRNA from 1 species